GGAUGCGAUCAUACCAGCACUAAAGCACCGGAUCCCAUCAGAACUCCGAAGUUAAGCGUGCUUGGGCGAGAGUACUGAUGGGUGACCUCCUGGGAAGUCCUCGUGUUGCAUUCC
rnacentral:rRNA from 2 species